rnacentral:tRNA from 1 species
UCCAGGGUAGCCUAGUGGACAUGGCAUCUGCCCGUUAAGCGGAAGGUCGUGGGUUCGAUUCCCGCCCCUGGAC